rnacentral:lncRNA from 1 species
UUCGACGCCCUGCAAGUUGAAGACCGACGAAGCCAGCUCGCCGUUGAGGCCUCACCGCCGUGCACCGCAGCUGGAGUCGCCACCGUUGCACGCCGUCGCCUCACCGCUGCUCCGUCCGUCUCAGUCUCCAUCUCGCCGGCUCCUCUGUUCCAGCAGCCAUUCCAGAUCUGGGGAAGCUCAGCCGGAGCCGUUCAGCUCACCUCCGGCCACCGUGAAGCC